rnacentral:rRNA from 1 species
GACGAACGCUGGCGGCGUGCUUAACACAUGCAAGUCGAGCGAGCAGAUUCCCUUCGGGGAUGAAGCUAGCGGCGGACGGGUGAGUAACACGUGGGCAACCUGCCUUAUAGGGGGGGAUAGCCUUCCGAAAGGAAGAUUAAUACCGCAUAACAUCAGAUUAUCGCCUGGUAGACUGAUCAAAGGAGCAAUCCGCUAUAAGAUGGGCCCGCGUCGCAUUUGCUAGCUGGUGAGGUAACGGCUCACCAAGGCGACGAUGCGUAGCCGACCUGAGAGGGUGAUCGGCCACAUUGGGACUGAGACACGGCCCAGACUCCUAAGGGAGGCAGCAGUGGGGAAUAUUGCACAAUGGGGGAAACCCUGAUGCAGCAACGCCGCGUGAGUGAUGAAGGCCUUCGGGUUGUAAAGCUCUUUGAUCAGGGACGAUAAUGACGGUACCUGAAGAACAAGCCACGGCUAACUACGUGCCAGCAGCCGCAGUAAAAC